rnacentral:rRNA from 3 species
UGGUGCCUUCGGGAACUGUGAGACAGGUGCUGCAUGGCUGUCGUCAGCUCGUGUUGUGAAAUGUUGGGUUAAGUCCCGCAACGAGCGCAACCCUUAUCCUUUGUUGCCAGCGGUCCGGCCGGGAACUCAAAGGAGACUGCCAGUGAUAAACUGGAGGAAGGUGGGGAUGACGUCAAGUCAUCAUGGCCCUUACGACCAGGGCUACACACGUGCUACAAUGGCGCAUACAAAGAGAAGCGACCUCGCGAGAGCAAGCGGACCUCAUAAAGUGCGUCGUAGUCCGGAUUGGAGUCUGCAACUCGACUCCAUGAAGUCGGAAUCGCUAGUAAUCGUGGAUCAGAAUGCCACGGUGAAUACGUUCCCGGGCCUUGUACACACCGCCCGUCACACCAUGGGAGUGGGUUGCAAAAGAAGUAGGUAGCUUAACCUUCGGGAGGGCGCUUACCACUUUGUGAUUCAUGACUGGGGUGAAGUCGUAACAAGGUAACCGUAGGGGAACCUGCGGUUGGAUCACCUCCUUACCUUAAAGAA